UGGGGAAUUUUGGACAAUGGGCGAAAGCCUGAUCCAGCAAUGCCGCGUGUGUGAGGAAGGCCUUCGGGUUGUAAAGCACUUUUGUCCGGAAAGAAAUCCUCUGGGUUAAUACCUCGGGGGGAUGACGGUACCGGAAGAAUAAGCACCGGCUAACUACGUGCCAGCAGCCGCGGUAAUACGUAGGGUGCAAGCGUUAAUCGGAAUUACUGGGCGUAAAGCGUGCGCAGGCGGUUUUGUAAGACGGAUGUGAAAUCCCCGGGCUUAACCUGGGAACUGCAUUCGUGACUGCAAGGCUAGAGUAUGGCAGAGGGGGGUAGAAUUCCACGUGUAGCAGUGAAAUGCGUAGAGAUGUGGAGGAAUACCGAUGGCGAAGGCAGCCCCCUGGGCCAAAUACUGACGCUCAUGCACGAAAGCGUGGGGAGCAAACAGGAUUCAGGAUACCCUGGUAGUCCACGCCCUAAACGAUGUCAACUAGUUGUUGGGGAUUCAUUUCCUUAGUAACGUAGCUAACGCGUGAAGUUGACCGCCUGGGGAGUACGGUCG
rnacentral:rRNA from 1 species